rnacentral:misc_RNA from 1 species
UAAUCCGCCCGACCCACAAUGCCGGGGCCGGACAAAGCUCCUCGGCGUUUGCCCCGUGCCGAAAACUUCCCGCUGGUCCGCACGCGGACCGGCGAACACGGUGCAGCGCAAAAGAGCCGCUCGCUGGGCUCCGCCCGGCUCGAAAAGCACGGCUGCUAAAGCAUCACUGAGAGCGCCGCAUCAUGCGGGGCUCUCUUGAUCAU